AUGACCAGAAACAAGUCCCAUCCAUCUGCAGGUGCCUCCAGUUUGAGGGAGGAGAGAGGACACCCCCUCCACCCCAGACAUGGGAAAGCAGUCCACCUGCGCACCAGCGACAGGACACGUGGCUGGGUGCAGACGCCGGACUGGAGUCGCGGAGGACACGCGGGACGACUGAGCGCGCGGCGGCGGCGGGAGGAGAUGCAGGUCCCGCCCCCUUCCCGCCGCCGACGGGGCGCGCGCGCCGAGGAGCCCGGGACAGGUGACUCCUAGGGGACGGCUUCUGCGCCUUCCCCGGCGGGAGUCCCUUCUUCACGGCCUCUGCCGCCCCCUGCGUCCCCUCCUGGGCUUCCGAGAGUCUGACUCAGCCGAGCCGGCAUCGCUUCGCUUCCUACCACACACCCCGAGCGCGAGGAGAAAUGACAGGAUGGCAGAGGCACGGCUAAUGCGCUCUAAUUACCCACCGCCGCUGUCUUCCGCGGCGCUCCGCGGCACUGGGCCAACGCACCCUAAUUAGGCCGCCCCUCCCUGGUCCUGGAACCCGCCCUUCGCCACUCCCCACCCACCUCGCGGCCCCCAGGAGCACUGGCUGCAGCCCUCCGGGACUGCCCCAAGAGAGCUACGAGGCCUUACUGAGGGACAGAACUUGGGGAGACCGAAGCCGGCGCCUUCACUCCCCUAAACUUACAGCCCUCGAAGUUCUCCGCUGGAGGAGACUGGGAGAGUGGGGAGGGGCCAGAGACCUAUUUCGUUGACAGAAACACUGACUUCUGUUGGAACGUUAUCCUUCAGUGGGAGGAGUGGCAAAGGCAGGCAGGGCAGCAGUACCCGCACUUGGCACUGAAGGCACCGAGAAGGGAAGGAAAGUCCGUCCAACCGGAACUCCCAGAUCCGCUCGUUUAACAGUGGCCUAAUGAGCAGCACAAUGGGCUCCCUCCCCUGACAGGGAAAUUACCUUCCUGCCAAGAGAAGUGACAUCCCCACCACAGACACGGAGCCCCCGCCCGCUGGCCGACUGUGGCUUGUUGAUCAUAGGGGAGCUAGUGAGGAGUGGGGCGGCUCUGGCCUCCCAUGUCAGGUAGGGUGUGAGAGGCCCUGAAGAUAGAAGCCAGGCCUGUAGGCCAGAAUUAAAGGGGCAGCGUGGCCAUCAGCUCGUUUCCCACAACCAGGCUCAGAGCUCUCCUCUAUCAGGAAUUCUUUCCUGGGGUCCAGGAGGUUGCAAACUCAUGGCCCUAGGCCACGUUUCAUCUUCAGUGAGGUUUUGUUUGGCUUGCAAUGAGUACCUGGGUUUUAGACUGAAUGUGAGAGCCUGCAGACAGUGUGAGUUCUCCAACUGCCCUCCCAGUGAAGCUGGACCUCUGAUUUAGAUCAGCCCACUGGGCCCGUGCCUUCACCCUUUCCUCAGGGCCAAGACCUCAGUCCCCAUGAUUGCUGCUCCUUUGUGGUCUGCACGUUUCUUGGUAAGCAUACGCAGUCAAGUGUCUCUGGGAGCCCACUCUGUCAUCGUCAGCUUCCCUACAUGCAGUAGCCAUGGUGGCUGCACAUGCUCCCGGAUACCCCUCCACACUACCUUUUGUCAUUCUGAGUUUCAGUCCGACUUGGGUGGACUGUAUUUUCUCCAACAGGGAUGGCAGCUAUUUUUCUGCCAUGAGACUAGAGCAUGCUUGAGAAGAGGAAAUUGGAUCUCUCCCUCCAGACUGGGAUUUCACUAAGGGGCUGGGCAAGGGGGGAAUAUGAGAGGAUUAUUCUCCAUCACAGGGAGUGCUCUGCAGUAAGGGCUGUGUCUCUGAUUCAGACUGAUGGUUCCCUGAGGACGGGGCAGUGUCUCCCCUCAGACUGGGGCCCCCUUUCCCCUCAGACUGGGUCUCCCUGAGGAUGGAGCUGAGUCUCCCCUCAGACUGGGGCUCCCUGAGGACAGGGCUGUCUCCCCCCUUCAGACUGGGGCCUCCCCCAAAGGACAGGGACGGUGUCUCCCCGAGAAUAGGCUCUUUGUGUCUUCUGGAUCAGACUGAGAUCUUCAUGAGGACAGGGCUGUGUCUCCCCCUCAAUCUGGAGCUCUCUGAAGGCAAUCGCCUCUCCCCUCAAGUGGGCCGUUUGCACCCCACCGCACCCCACCCUCUGGCUCCCCAUGGCACCCAGGCAUUCCUCCCAGGACACCAUUUGUCACGCUUUGAUGAAUGAACCCUACUAAGAAUAACUCAGUCCUUGUAGGCACUAAAGGACAGGGGGAGGGAGAGGGAGGAGGCUGGUGAUUGUGGGGGUGCUGGGGGAGGAGGGACACACUCCAUUUAUUCAGUAGCAUUUCCUGGAUGCCCAGCUGGGCACUGGGGGAGACACAGUGAGUGCCACGGAGCCCCCUACUGUGCCAUUUCUGCCACCGACAGCCAGGGGCGUCCCCUGAGACAGAAAGUUUAGGCCCCUGCUUCACAGCCUUCCCACCCCAGCAAUCAUUACCUCAGGGCCAGCCAGCCCCCUCCAUGCCAAUCAGGAGCUCUCUCUGCUCCUCCUAUCAGUGGAGGGGAGACUUUGAAAUCAGGUGCUUGGGGUAGGGAAGCUGCUCCCAGUGGGGGUGUGAGGAACCCAGAGGAUGAAUCCCUGUCCCCGCCAACCCUACUCUGUUCUUCCUUACCCUGCCCCUUUCCACUCCAAAACCUCAAGCCUCUAGUUCAUAUUCAAGUGACCUUUCCAAUGCAACUGUUCUCAGGGGCCCCCCUGGGAACUGUGAGGCUGUGAUCUUAACCCACUUCUUUGGAUGGUGCCUUCCUGGCACUCCGCCUCCACCUGCCACCUCCUGAGAGGAACAUUUCGGCCUGUCUUGGCAAAAACAUCAGUCUGUGAUCCAGGCAGCCUGGUACAAUACCAGCUUUGCUACUGACACCACUGUGACCUUGAGAAGCCAUUUACAACCUAUGGGCCUCAGUUUCUCCAUAAGUAAAAUGUUUGUUUAGGUUUCCUGAUUUUCAAAUCUUUUUUUUUUUUUCAACAAUGAAUCCUCUUGUUUGAAUUGUAA